AGGCAGAGGAGGGAAUACACAUAAAUAGAAUGUGGUGGUUUUUUACUAUAAGAUUUUAGCCAAGCAGGCACGGAAUUUUCUAGAACUACUUUCCCUGUAUAAUUAGGAUUUGGCACAAAGAGCUUUAAGUGAGAUUUGGAAGGUACAAGAGGAACAGCAGUCAUUACAGAAGAUUAGUACAAGCCUCCAUGCAUGGCCAACCCUUGGCACAUUUGCUGCUGAUUCACGGGCUUCUCUCACUGGUGUGCAUAGACCCACAGCUCCUCUGCCUGCUGUCAGAUCGCUUCCUUCAGCUUUUCCAAGUCCUGAGUCAGACACGUGUGCAACUCUGGGGUGAAAGACACCAGCUUCUUCUGCAGAUUACCUGUAUCAUUUGGGUUUGAAGCAUAUUCUGAUGUGUCUUUGUGAAUACCAGUUUAUUCUCAAGGAUUUUAGGUUGUCUUUUCUUUUCUUUUUUUUUUUUUUCUAUUUCGUUUAGAGCUUUUCUUCCUGAUGGCUUAUCUACCGAUCAAAGCAACUUCUACCUCACCAGCAGAUACAGAGGCAACUUCUUCCAUAGAUUUCUUCACCAGUUUUCCUUAGCUGUCUCCUUGGUAAGUGACUUUUCUCUGAUGCUUCAACCGUCUCCUGGAACUUUACUUCACCCACUUUCCCCAGAAUUUUGUAAGGCAUAAAUCCUUAUAAUGUGUUUUAUUUUAUAUCACUCACAGUUGUUCUGGUUCCAUGAUUGAAUCCUAACCUAUACUUAUGGUAAAUAAUUUAAAGUGUUCAUCUAGCAACUAUAAAUAGAUGGUGUGUCUAGAGGAGAGGAUGAAUGUGGGGAGUAGCAGAAAAUAAAGCCAGAAAGAAACCACAUUAUAAUCUAUUUUUAGAGUAGGAUUUUGGUUUCUAUCUUCUACAAAUGUCACUUGCUGCUUGUGAAAAUGGAUUGGAGUGGCUAUAUCUACAACAGAAAAAAACUGUAGAUUAGACUAUUGUACAUUCAAGAAGAUAAUGUUAGAAAUCUGUACACAGGUAAGAGGGUGGGUGGAGAGGCAGGGAGGGAUCAGAGUGAAGUACAAAUAAAUCUGAAUAACUCGUCUUUAUCAGGAACAUUUGAAAUCCUCUGGUUCUUUGGCACCCAAAUAUGAAGGUCAUUUCAUCAAAGGCCUAAAAUUUUCAUAGAGAGGAUUUGAGAAAGGUGAUCUCAAUAAAAUACAAAAAAAAAAAGGAAGAAAAGCUACAGUAAAAGAAAUAUUGCUACUUAUAUAUGCAAACGAAGACUGAGGACAACUAUUAUCAGCUUUCUACUCUUAAGAAUUAUUUAAGUUGCUACUCCUACUUCUACAUUUGGACAUUGGUUUACCAUGCCAUUUUUCCUUAUAUAUAUUUAAAAAAUCUCUUAAAAAUUAAAAUGGUAGUAUGCAUGUUUUCAGGCCAAAUAUAUAUUUCCAAACUGUUCUAAAUUUGUUACUACUGUGUUUUUACUCCUGAGUAAUCAAUAACAUUGAGUAAUAAAGACAGAAUUAUUUAUGUAUAAAUAAAAAUUCUCAUGAGAAUUUUUGUCUAUUUUUCCUUUUCUGAGUUGAAAAGCAGCCAUUUUCAACAUAGCUAAUUGUUGCUACAGUAUCAUUUUAAAUUAAUGUGGUACAGUGUAUGCUGAAAUAGCAGUGGAAAAAUAUUUAAGUUUUAACAAUGCUCUACUCAGGUAAAUAUCCCUGCAGGAAUCAAAAUUAAUAAAUAUUAUCUUCAGUAUACAUAAUACAAUAUAAUAUCUUUAAUAGGAGUUGCCAUUUUACUGAAUAUCUUCCAUUUGAUGUUUGUGAAAAGUUUGUUCAUUGACAUAGCUCAAUAAUAUUCCAUUUUACAAAUAUACCACAAUUAAUUAACCUAUCCUUCUGUAGAUAGACAUAUGGGUUUCUUUCCUUAUUAUACAUCAUAUUAAACUUUUAUAUUAUGAACAGUUCAUUGAAUCUAUUGAUCCAUUUGUGGAGAAUUUAUAUCUUUAUGAUAUUGAUUUUUCUUCCUAGAGGUAUAAUAUGCCUUUCCAUUUAUUUGAAUCAUUUUUAAUGUUUUAAAAUUUAGAUACAUUUAAUUAAUGUGUGUGUAUCUGUAUGUAAGCUUACUGCAAUGCUAAACAGGUAAAUAUUCAGAACACUCUGUAAAAAAAAAAAAAAGUUGAACUUCCACCUUAAUUACUGACUUUUUUUUAAUUAAUUGUAAGCAGAAAUGGGAUACUGUUUUCUCUGCCACAUUUCUGUCACCUGUGGUCAUAAUCCCUCGAGCUGUAUAAGGGAAGUUGUCUGUUCAAAUCAUGCAGUGUUCUUAUGUCACAAACCAAAACCUGAGUCUAUUAUGCUGAGCUAAUCUGCUUUGACCUGGGUAAUUUCCAUCCUGGGUUGAUCUGAUCUGCCAGGAGGUUUGGCCGUCAGAUUUUGGUGACUUCUGCUCCUCAGAGAAUUCUCAGAAUCCCAAAUUGCACCCCAUCUCACUAAGAGUGUGGAGAGGAAAAGACAGAAGGAUAGAAAAAGAGAAGGAGGAGGAAAAGGAAGUAUCUAUCUACAUGUUUAUAUCUAUACCUUUAUUUAUACUCACAGUAAAGGACAUUUGUCAGAAUAGCCCCCAAACACUAUUGCCGCACCAACAUCUAUUAAAAUAUAAACCAUCUUUAAUAAAUACUGAGCUGUGUAAAUAUUUAUUUGCAUGCAAAAGAAAAGCUCUUUAGUAUUCUUAAGCCAGACUGAGCAGUCAACAGAUGAUUUUGAUAAAUGUCUGUUCAUUACCUGAACAUUUCCAUUGCAAUAUAAAACAAAGAUUUCAUCUACAUUUUAUUUUUGCUCCAUGAAUGGUUCCACACUUUCUAAUCAGUGUUAUUUUUAAGAUUAAAUUUGGAUAGUAAUGUAAAUAUGGGAGGGGAAUGGGUGUCUAAGAGGAUUUUCUGGUUCAUAGUCAUUAUAAUAGUCACAAUAUACAAGAUAAUUUGUAAGUCUAGGCCCCCUUUUGCUCAGGCAGUCUAAUUCUUUAUGUCCAAGAAUUUUGUCAAAGUAAUGUUCUUCAUGCU
rnacentral:lncRNA from 1 species